AUACAUCUGUUUAUCUGUAUUUAGAGUUCAAUCACCAAGGUCCUACCCCAGGUAAAACUUGCACUGCACUGAUAGGGUUCUCCAGAUUGAUGUCUGUCACACUAACUUUUCCUGUGGGGCUCAGAUUAUGAGUUUUUAACCAUUUUACCCUUAGCCUCACUGCUAAGGGCCUCCAUUACUUCGGCUGCGUCCUAAAAUGGGGAGUAGACACAAGCAGAUGAGAGAAGAUUGCACAUUUUCCUCCCCUUGGAUAUUUCAGUGCUUGUUUUUAUUGCCAGAAGGACAAAAAUUUUAGCAUCUGUCUUCGGCAAAUGGAGAUUUCCAAGAACAUUGAUUUGGAACCGUAUUUUGACAUAUUUUAUUAUGACAUUUUGAUUGCACUUAAGCACUGCACUCCUGCAAGGGAACUGGUUCCUUCUCUUCCAGUCAUGAGCCUUCCUAUCACCAGUAUUGCCUGGCCUCCAAUUUUCUCUGUGGGGCUGGGAAACACCUCUCCCAGGUGGAAGAAUUGGGAUGUGUGUAACUAGGUAAUGGCAUGCACAGCUCUGCAGCAAGUUGAAGUUGUUGUGCUAAAAUCAUCUGAAUUCCCAGAUGGAAAUAUUCUAAGAAAAUGCAGUUGACAAUCAUUGUUUAUAAAACAAAAUAGAUUAUCCUGUUUAGUAUAAUAAAUUGUUCCAGUGUGGUUAAAGCAGACCCCAAUACUGAGUUUUCUGAAGAAAACUUUGGCAUUAGGAAAAUACUUUGAGAUGUCAUUUUUAGGUAAACCUUGUGUUAAUAGUGCAGAAGUUGAAUUCCCUGUCAGUGCCUGUGCCUGGCAGGGUGACCCUGUGUCCCCCAGGAAGGCUGGCUUGCUCCUGUAAUGGCUCUUUUCUCAUGAGCAGGGGGGCUCUCAUCGUGGGCAGGAGAGGCUGAGAAGCAGAAGGGCUGAGGAGAGGACACCCGGAGCACUGUGCAGCUGGGAAAGGCAAGGAAAGGGCAAUCCUGGAUCCUGGCUCCCACACCUUGCUCCCAGGUUUAGAACAUCAGAUGACUCAGCAGAUGUGAAGUGCUUCUGGAAGCCAAACAGUGGUUAUGUUACAACCCUUUGGACCACCCUGUUUGUCCAUCAUGGCUGUGCCACACUGCACUGCAGUGGUCUUCUCAUCCACAAGAGCCUGACCAUGGCCAAGGGGAUCAAGAAGCUCUGAAGAGCCUGCUCCAGGGGACACAGGGAGCCCUCAGGCCUCCGUCACCUUCCGGCCCCGACAUCCCCAGCCCAGCUGCCUUGGACAGGAGAUGAAAUGGUCCCCAGGACCUGUCCCUACUCUCCCUGGGUGCUUCUGCACCAGUAAACUCCAGAGGGCCCCUGAGUCUGGAGAUCUCGAGUGCAAUCAUCUCUUGGUAAGGAUGGCAAGGCUGGAAUGCUUCAGGGUUGUGCUGUGUCUCAGGAAGGGCUGUGACCUGGCACUCUGGGGCUGAUGGCAAGCCCGUGGUUUGCUGGGAAUGAGCUCAGUGCUCCUGCUGGGACUGGGAAUCGUGGACUGGAACUAAGAAUAACUAAAAGAAGGCAGAUAACAAACUGCCAGUUCCCCUCACUGUCAUCAACACUGAAGUACUUUGCUGAAGCAAAGUGUUAAGAAGCUGAGACUGGACAUUUAAAGACUUAAAAGCUACUGAAUUUUCUGCCCAACCUGAUGUGGGAAAAGAUGCAGAAGAUAAUGCUUGUAUCUUAAGCGUUGUGUUCUCAAGAGCUCAAGAAGAGAUGCAAAAACUCCAGAAAUACAAAUGUAAAAUGGGUGGAGAGGUUCAGUGCCCAGCUCUGCAGUAUUGCCUUGGAGAUGGCUCCUUUUGGCUUUUGUGCCUUGUUUCAUGGGGAGCCUCUCAACAGAGUGGAUUUAACUUGGUGUCUCACUGCAGGAAGGAAGGAGACACAGAAUGAAGAGGCAGGAGGUGCCUGUGCAGUUGGGAUUGUUCUCCCAAAGAGAUUUGGCUGUUCCUGCAGGCUGCAGGUGGAAGGAGGCACUAACAGCAUCUGGAAGAGUGAAGCUGGCAGCGUGUGAAACACAGGCAGUACCCUAAAGCUCCUCCAUCCCUACCGUGGCUUAAAGUGCUGGAGGAAAUGAGCAUCAUCUGCAGCAGAGUCCUUUGGUUUUACCGCAGCUGCUGACACCUUCUAAUCUCCCUCAGAAUGGUGAGGCUGACGAGUGACAUUCCACAUGCAGCUGGCUGCUUUGUGGCUCACCUUGGGGCUCCCAGCUUUCCAGAGAUCAUCACUUCCUCUGUGCUGAGGCUCCUGAUUCGGGCAGCACUCGGUGUCUGACGGCUGCAGCCCAGGAUGGUCCCCUCCUACCUCGGGCAGAUAUUCCACAGAGACCUGCCAAAGGAAAGCCUUGCACCUGUCAGUAACUUGUGAAAAGCGAUUCCUCAUUUCUGAGAUCCCUGCCAGGAAUGGGAGAUUUAGCAAGAGUUUCUACAUUCCUCAGACAAUCAGAAAAUGCCCCAAGCCCCUUCUGCAAUCACUCGUCAGAGAGAGAAAUGCUUUGACAGCGAGUGCACUCUACAGGGUCCAGCCACAGUCGGACAGGAGGAGUCUCCUCCUCCUCCCAUCUUCCUUUUCUUUUCAAACCUGUCCCUGUCUCCUCAUCUCUGGGAGUCAGGCACCCACAUUCCUUCAUGCACAGUGAAGGAAGAAAGCAGAGGAAGAUCUGGCUCCCAGUCCCUCCACAGGCAGAGUCUGAGUCAUUUACAUGAGGAAUUCAGUGAGCAGAGAUCUUCACUUUCAUCAGAUCUGUCUUUUCAGAAACAAGCUGGCACUCUGGGCACCAAAACAGAUCAUCACAGGAGCUACCACAAAGAAUACUGUUCUGCCAAAGCUGCAGGCAGGAGUCUGUCAGGGAGAAUGAGGGAGCAAGAAGAGCGGAGUUCUAACAGACAGAGGCGGAAGGAAGGAAGAAUGAAAAGUGUAAGAAAGUGGAAGAGACUUCAAGGGACACAACACUGCUUAAUGGGGCAGAAACUGAGAGACAAGUGAAGUGCAGUGCAGGGUGACUGGCAUUCUUCCAAGGUAAUUUGUAAAAGGGGAAAAGGUGUAGCUGAAAUGCUUUGAUUUGCCUUUUUCUCACUCUGCCCAUGCACUUGUGUGUUCAUUUCGUGUAGUAACCUCUACUAAACAGUCAGAGGCUGCAGCAUCAUUCUGAUGACCUGAAAUUAAGGCAAAAAGCUGCAGUUCUGGAAUUUGGAGCUCGUAGUACCUAACUGGCUGAAGGGCAAAAUAAAGAAGUAAAGAUCAAUGACAACUUUUCGUGUCACAUGAAAAGUCAAGGCUCAUGCAUCAGGGAACUUCAAAACAAUGAGAUUCAUCUAAGUUCAGCCUAUGUCUCAAUCCUAAAAUUGUAUUAAACUCCCUGUUUCUAAUUCUUAUUCAGUGGAGCUUAGAUGAACCUCAGAGUUUAGGUGUUCCCACGAUAGGAGUUAUGGGAAUUGAUUUCUUUGCAACGUGAAGUGCCAAAAAUGGGAAAUAGUGGCAGUUCUGGGGGCUCUUUCUGCUUUCUUUCCUUUUUAUUCUUGUCAUCCUGUCUUCCUGUUUAUUCUGCCAUCCAGCAUGGCAGAAAUGCAAUCGAAAUGAGCAGCAGGAAGGCGACCUCCAUUAACUUAGCAAGUGAGGGGAAAGAAGUUCAUCUUUCAGGCUUUGAAGGAGCCGAUACCAGGAGAAAGACUGUGCACAAAAACUGCAACACAAAGCCAGAAGUUAUCAACUACCCUGGGAGAUGUUUUCACAAAUCAACAAAGAACACAAGCCAGGGAAAAAAAGAGCAUUGCUCUGGUCUGUGUCCCUCAGAGGAGAAACUGAAAAGCUGCGAAUACAGAGCAGGUAGGAGCUGGGUGUCAGUGGAAUGUCAGCUUCCAGCAGAACAGGAAUAACUCACAAGCCUCGGGAUGAGUCUCUGCUGCCUUGCACACUGUGCAGUGUUUCCAAAGCCCGGAAGGAGCAGAGUUUCCAGCCAGCUACAGAGCACCAUGUCAGGCCGUGCAGAAAGAGAAUUGCAGCAGAAAUGGGGCUUCACCAGAUCUGUCCAAGACCUAGAACUGACACUAGACAAGGCUCAACUUGAAUAAUUGUAUUAGUUCCUUCUUUGGUCCUUUCACCCCAAAUAUGUUUAGCUUGUAUUUUGCUCCAGCAUGCUUUUAUAAAUCCUCAGAGAAUCCAUCUGGGAAGCACUUACAGGAUGGAAAUGUGCUGACCUUUAGAUGUUGACAGGUGAGGUGCAUACCCUCAUGUCCGAUAUUAUUGACAGUAAUGGCAGUGCUUCCUUUUUUUUUUUUUUGGUGAACAGUGUAAUUUUUACAUGUUUGUAUGACUUCGGGCUAUAGUUAUCCUCCUAUAAAGUAGAAUAUCUAUGCCAAUGCUUUUAUUCCAGGGGUGUAGAUGCGGUACCACACAUUGAUAAGCACAUGACACCAUUUAAGCCAGUGUCUGCAACGUCACCCAUGACAAUGAGAUGCACAGUGCUCUGCAGCGUGAGGCCAUGAAUGUACCCACAGGGGCAGAAGCGCCCACGGCAGGACUGGUAAGGCAGCUCCUGUCUCCUGUGCUCAGAGGUGAUUCCUCUUCCAGACCAGCUCUGUGCUGGACCUUGCUUCUGCAGGUGUGGUGGCUGGUGCCACCUGAUGUGUGGCAGCUUUUUAGGGCGAGUCUCCUCUGAUGAGGACUGCACAGCAGCAGCAGUCAUCUCACUUAGCACUCUGACAAAAUGUAGGACUGGACUCCAAAGGUAGGAACCAGUUCUUUGUUAUUUCAUUGUCUGAAACCUUUUCUUUGGAGUGUGUUCGGGGAAGGAUGGGAGAUAGACCUUUUUACCUUUCUGCUUCUGUCUCUUUCUGUGGUACAUCAUAUCCAUCCCUUCCACAGCUGAACCAGUGGGUCUAUACUUUCUGAGAGGAACUCAACAGAAAUAUUUUGCAAUCUUUUGUCCCCCUAGAAGCAGCAGCAGGUUUUGGAGCAAUCCCUCUGAAAACAUUUCUGUAAAGUUUUCCUUUUAGUUCUUGAUGCUGCUCAGACACAUAAGGCUGACACAAAACCCCCCUAAGUAACGUCCCCAGCCUCGGUGGAAUGGCUGCACUCUCUGAACUGCAGCCUUGCACUGUCACACCAUAAUUACAUUGCAAUUAUAGAGAUAAUUAUGGCAGGUUCUAGGCACUGGCUCUGAAUCCUCCUGCUCAGGGCUGACCCUGGCAUUUGUCUGUGUUUUGCUGUCACUGGGGCUGAGCACUCCGUGCUCCCUAAGGGACCAACGCUCCAUCUCCACAGCUCCCUGGAGCUGAGGGUGCUUGCCCACACUGAGAGAUCGGUGUGUGUGUUAUGUCUCCAGGAGCAGAUACGCUGCUGUGAUGGAAAUUUCUGUUCCAGCACACCUCCGUACAGAGAGAAAUAAAGAGAAAAAAAGGAAAAGGAGCUAAAAGCCAGAAGGCGGCAUUUCAAUGCCAGCGUGGCAGCCAAAGAGGUAAGGGAAUGAAACCCCGACAGAGGCAGCAGAGGAAGGUCACUGCUGCCAGGGACAGCAACACCUGAUGGCCACAAGCACAAAUCAAGAACUCUGCAGACAGGAGUUUUACUCUCACCCUUUGACUUUUUUUAGCACAAUUUGCAUUGCAAAUUGUCUUCAUGGCCACUGGAAGGUUGGUCAAGGGCCAGAUGGCCCUAAAGGGAGAACAGUUUAGCGUGUUCUUGCAGUGGCUGGUCAGAGGUACUGCCAGCAUUAAACCUGCUCAGAUCAGUUCUCUUUGCUGGGAUGACAGCAGCAAUCAAAGAGCCACCUGAGGAUCUCCUCCACCUGAGAUGCAAAUACCCUCUCCCUUUUCUUGUGCAAUCCUAAAGCUGGCUCAGACAUUUCCUACACGGGGCUUGGACUUUGCUUACACCUGAAUUUCCUUGCAUUUCUGUGCUGGGUGCAAACUUACAGAGGCCAGGUGAGAACAAUUUGGCUUUAGGUAAGAAGAGGCAUUUCCUAGUAACUGUGAGGAGCUGCUUCAGACACAAAACAAACACUGACUGCAUGUCUACCCCAGCAGAAAUAAAAGAGCUGACCUUAGUGGUGCUUGCCGGGGAAUGUGCCCAGAUUUACACACGAGCCACUUGCACUUCCAGCCCCUUUUGCUUCCCUAGGAAAGGCUAAUGUUGCACAAAGAGCACUCAGGUAAACUGCUGUUCCUGUUAAUGUCAGUUCUGUAGAACUGAACCACCAGUAUUCCACAUUCUGUUUCACUUCCCCACCUUUGGAGUUUUUGUUGUGCUGCACUGCGUUUAUUUUCUGGACAGACUCAAUUUUGCUGGCACAGGACAUAAAAAUAAUAAAAGAAAGCUUAUGACAGCAGAGCAGGGAACAAAUGGCACCUGUGCAUUUGUCAUUGAUCCUUGAAAAAGUAGGUGAGCCCCAGACUUACCUUUGGAUUUAUCUCUGCUGGUUGUACUCAUGGG